rnacentral:rRNA from 1 species
UACGUAGGGACCGAGCGUUGUCCGGAUUCAUUGGGCGUAAAGCGCGCGUAGGCGGACCUGCAAGUCGGGGGUGAAAGCCCGAGGCUCAACCUCGGAACUGCCUUCGAUACUGCGGGUCUCGAGUCCGGGAGAGGUGAGUGGAACUGCGAGUGUAGAGGUGAAAUUCGUAGAUAUUCGCAAGAACACCAGUGGCGAAGGCGGCUCACUGGCCCGGAACUGACGCUGAGGUGCGAAAGCGUGGGGAGCAACAGG